rnacentral:lncRNA from 1 species
UUUUUUUUUUCAGUUUGGUUAAAGCUUUUUUUAUUACAAUUUUCUGUUUUUCUUACUCUGCAGAUAAAAUAGACAUUAACUGAUUCUUAGUUUUCUCUGCCUUGGAUUAAAUCACAUCUCUUAGAUGUUUAUCGGUAUUGUGCGAAGCAUAUAUUUUAAAAAUAAACAUUAAGAGAAAGUUUAAUUACAUAGAAGCAGAAAGAGGCAGGACCAAUAUAUUUGGAUAUUAUUCUAUAAAAUUCUCAGACAGCUUGGCAUCAUUGCUUAUAUCCCACAGCUUCAACAAGAAAAAAAUUAUGUGAAAGAAUUUUAGCACAAUAUAGAGAUCAAUAGAAACACAGAAGAGUGACCAUAAAAUAUAAUUCCUCUUCUGUGCUUUAAAAAGUUAUAGUCAUGGGCUUUGACUGUCUGGCAAAUGCUCACAGGUAUGUCAAUUUAUAAUAAGGUGAGUCAAUUUAUAAUAUGGUAGUUAUUCCUUACAUUUUAGAGACAGAAGAAAUCAGAAAUGUUGGCACCAGAGAAAGCAAAUUAGAGGGAAACAGAAACAUGUAUUUUCCCUUAUUGAAAUGGUGAGCAGAGGCUGUGUUAUGCUUGAAUAAGCUUUUCAUUCAUGCUCUUGCUUCAAUCUCUCACCCCUAAGAUGUAUGUAAAAAAUUCAAAAGACAAGUCUGGGCUGAGGGUAAAGCAGAUGGUAUCCAUUUUCUUAUGAUAGAAGGAAAAAAACCUACAACAAUUAUAGAUUCAAGUCUCCUUCCACUUGCAAAAUAGAAAUUUUGUAGUGCUCAAUCUAAAUAUUGUGGCCUCAUAUUUAGGAGUUUAUAAACAGAUGCUCUGGGCUUCAGACUUCCUGUGAGUUAGUCUCUAGGACUUUUAAAGAAGCUAUGUAGAAACUAGUGGAAUAUUUGAUAUCUCCCUAGCUUCAAGGACCCAGACUAUCCAUAUGAAUGAGGGGGAAAAGCUCCACUUUAGAAUUGCUGGCAGGCCUGGCAAGGCUAUAACUAGGUCGGGGUGAUCAGACUCUGCCACAAGACACCCAAAUUUAGACAGCACGAGUUUAAGCAAAAACAAAACAGUUUAAGGCAGUGUAAAAUUUUGAGGUCCUCAGCGAAUUUCCACACUACCUCUCUAGUCACAAUGCUACUAGCUCAACUUUGGAGCCAAGGCAGCUCUCCUGGGAAAGGACAGAGACUGAUUAUGCUAAAAAGCCAAGGUUAAGGGUAGAGACCACUCUGCCCUUUUACAUCCUGAGAGCAUGGGGCGAGGGUCAUCUCCUCCUUUCAACUUGCCUCACCCUCCUCCUAGCACAUAGUGGAAUGAAGUUGCUAGUUAUAUGUACUGCUGACUUUAUUAGAGGCUUUGACCUAGGUUGCAAGUACCUUGAAAUUGUUAACCCACUUCUACCACUUCCAGCCCUGAUGUGUGCCCAACAAAAUUCAUAUAACCUGAGAGUCGACCUAUAUGAUGGGAAGAUAAAGAAAGAAAAAGCAUAAUAUUAGUCUCAGUCCUUAUUCC